UACGUAGGGGGCAAGCGUUGUCCGGAUUCAUUGGGCGUAAAGAGCGUGUAGGCGGCCAGGUAGGUCGGUUGUGAAAACUGGAGGCUCAACCUUCAGAGGUCGACCGAAACCAUCUGGCUAGAGUCCGGGAGAGGAGAGUGGAAUUCCUGGUGUAGCGGUGAAAUGCGCAGAUAUCAGGAGGAACACCGAUGGCGAAGGCAGGUCUCUGGGCCACUACUGACGCUGAGAAGCGAAAGCAUGGGGGAGCGAACAGG
rnacentral:rRNA from 1 species